UACAGAGGUCCCAAGCGUUGUUCGGAUUCACUGGGCGUAAAGGGUGCGUAGGUGGUGAGGUAAGUCGGAUGUGAAAUCUCCAAGCUCAACUUGGAAACUGCAUUGGAAACUACCUUGCUAGAGGAUUUGAGGGGGGAUUGGAAUACUUGGUGUAGCAGUGAAAUGCGUAGAUAUCAAGUGGAACACCAGUGGCGAAGGCGAAUCCCUGGAAAAUACCUGACACUGAGGCACGAAAGCUAGGGGAGCAAACAGG
rnacentral:rRNA from 1 species